GAUGAACGCUGGCGGCGUGCUUAACACAUGCAAGUCGAACGGUGAACGAGGGAGCUUGCUCCCUCCGGAUCAGUGGCGAACGGGUGAGUAACACGUGAGCAAUCUGCCCUGGACUCUGGGAUAAGCGUUGGAAACGACGUCUAAUACCGGAUACGAGACGCGAAGGCAUCUUCAGCGUCUGGAAAGAACUUCGGUCCAGGAUGAGCUCGCGGCCUGUCAGGUAGUUGGUGAGGUAACGGCUCACCAAGCCUACGACGGGUAGCCGGCCUGGGAGGGGGACCGGCCAAAAUGGGACUGAGACACGGCCCAGACUCCUACGGGGGGCAGGAGUGGGUAAUAUUGCACAAUGGGCGCAAGCCGGAUGCAGCAACGCGGCGUGAGGGACGACGGCCUUCGGGUUGUAAACCUCUUUUAGCAGGGAAGAAGCGAAAGUGACGGUACCUGCAGAAAAAGCACCGGCUAACUACGUGCCAGCAGCCGCCGUAACAC
rnacentral:rRNA from 1 species